rnacentral:rRNA from 1 species
CCUACGGGGGGCUGCAGUGGGGAAUAUUGCACAAUGGGGGAAACCCUGAUGCAGCAACGCCGCGUGAGCGAUGAAGGCCUUCGGGUCGUAAAGCUCUGUCCUAAGGGAAGAAUACUGACGGUACCUUAGGAGGAAGCCCCGGCUAACUACGUGCCAGCAGCCGCGGUUAUACGUAGGGGGCUAGCGUUAUCCGGAAUUACUGGGCGUAAAGGGUGCGUAGGCGGCCCUUCUAGUCAGCGGUGAAAGGAGACGGCUCAACCGUAGUAAGCCUUUGGAGGUGUAGGGCUUGGGUGCAGGAGAGGAGAGUGGAAUUCUCAGUGGAGCGGUGAAGUGCGUAGAUAUUGGGAGGAACACCAGUUGCGAAGGCGGCUCUCUGGUCUGUACCUGACGCUGAGGCACGAAAGCGUGGGGAGCGAACAGGAUUAGAUACCCCUGUAGUC